rnacentral:rRNA from 1 species
UACGUAGGAUCCGAGCGUUGUCCGGAUUUACUGGGUGUAAAGGGUGCGCAGGCGGACUGGUAAGUCAGAGGUGAAAUCUCGUCGCUUAACGACGAAACUACCUUUGAUACUAUCAGUCUUGAAUCCGGUAGAGAUCUGUGGAAUUCCGAGUGUAGCAGUGAAAUGUGUAGAUAUUCGGAAGAACACCAGUGGCGAAGGCAGCAGAUUGGGCCGGUAUUGACGCUCAGGCACGAAAGCAUGGGGAUCAAACAGG